CACCGCGGUUAUACGAGUGAGCCCAGGUUGAUAAAAUCGGCGUAAAGGGUGGUUAAGAAAAUUGCUAAGUAAAGCCGAAAGUUUUAGCAGCUGUUAAAUGCUUACAAAAAUAAGAAGCCCAAAUACGAAAGUAGCUUUAUAACUUCUGACCCCACGAAAGCUAGGGCA
rnacentral:rRNA from 1 species